AUACGAAGGUCCCAAGCGUUAUUCGGAAUCACUGGGCGUAAAGAGUACGUAGGCGGUUUGGUAAGUCAGGUGUGAAAUCCCGAAGCUCAACUUCGGAACUGCAUCCGAUACUGCCAGACUAGAGUAAUGGAGAGGCAGGUGGAAUUCUCGGUGUAGCAGUGAAAUGCGUGGAUAUCGAGAGGAAGACCAAUGGCGAAGGCAGCCUGCUGGACAUUUACUGACGCUGAGAUACGAAGGCUAGGGGAGCGAAAGGGAUUAGAUACCCCAGUAGUCC
rnacentral:rRNA from 1 species